AUAAUAGGGGGUGAAGGCCCAUUGAGGCACUGUAUGAACAGUAUCAACCCGUUUGGGCUUCGAGCCCAAACAUCUGGAACCUCAAGAUACACACGCGAGGAAGCGUACAGGUUGAAAUCCAUGAAGCGUUCACCAAACGCGCUUUUCAUAAAAGCUACACGGGCAAAUGAGGCGUUUACAGUUGAAAAAGUGCUUAAAAAAAGCUCAACGCGAACAUUGCGUUCGUCAUCACCAUCAUAUUCACCAACCAACAUCGCCGUUCGCGGACGCUUCACCAUCUCGGAUCGUUCAACUGUCCAACGUGAUUCACGUCCAUCCAUCACCACCAAUUAACGACUCAACUUCACGAAAUCAACAACAACAACUAUCCUAAUCUACGGGGCCGAAUCGCAACGGCAUCACCGAAUUGCUUGAGCAUGACGACUAAGGAAGAACAACAUCUUACCAGCAAUGACGACGGGGUGGAGGAUAGGAGCUCAGGUGAUCGCCACUCGAUCCACUUCUCCACUCGGAUUCACCUGUUCUGUUCUCCUUGUAUCGCGCUUCCGUUACGGAUUGAGGGAGUGGUGAUGUGGUGGUUCAAAGGAAUUAAGUCGAUGAUGGACGAAGGCGACGAUAACGUUCGAUGCCCGGUGGUGAUUCCGACGGAGAGUCAGUUAUAGUUGUUAGAAAAUUGAAGUAUGUGGAAGAUCCGAGAAGAAGAAGAAUCAAAGUUCUUGAGAGGAAAAUGGAAAACAAGAGAGCGAAAAGAAAAGGAUUUCUCGCCGAAAUUGGAGAGAGGAAGAAGAAGAUUCUAGAAUACGAGAUUCCCCCCAAAUCACUACGAAAGCCAUGUACUUAUAUUUCUUUUUUUCCACAUUUUCAAUUCCUAUUUCAUUGUCGUUCAUGCUUUGGUGUUGUCGUUUAUGAUUUCGUUUUCAGUUUUUCUUUGGGUGUAGUUUGGCUUCGAGCUGAGUUUUUGCAGGUUAUUUGCACGUGGCGUGGCUUAUUGUUAUGAUGUUGCUGCCCUUUACAGCUUGGAUUUGGCCUUCCGCGCGGUAGCUUCUCAUGACUUUGGAGCUGGUAUUUUUGGUGGCUACCUGCGUUUCAAAUUGUGAUGGAAGCUGGCUUUGCAGUUGGCUUAAUGUGUUUGGCAUUUUCUUCAUGUUGUUUUGGUUACGUGAAGCUUGUACUUGAUAUAUAUUGCAGCUUUGUACUGCGUUUGCUUUUGUCUUCCAAUUCUACUUUUGAUUUUUUUUUAUUUCUUAUUGUUUAAUGGCUAAUGAUGACUUAAUGAAAAAUGGUUAUGGAAUUAAAA